rnacentral:tRNA from 1 species
AGUGUGGCUCAGUGGUACAGCCCUUGCCUGGCAUGCAUGAGGCCCUGGGUUCCAACCCCAGCACU